rnacentral:rRNA from 1 species
GAUGAACGCUGGCGGCGUGCCUAAUACAUGCAAGUCGAGCGAACAGACGAGGAGCUUGCUCCUCUGACGUUAGCGGCGGACGGGUGAGUAACACGUGGAUAACCUACCUAUAAGACUGGGAUAACUUCGGGAAACCGGAGCUAAUACCGGAUAAUAUAUUGAACCGCAUGGUUCAAUAGUGAAAGACGGUUUUGCUGUCACUUAUAGAUGGAUCCGCGCCGCAUUAGCUAGUUGGUAAGGUAACGGCUUACCAAGGCAACGAUGCGUAGACGACCUGAGAGGCGGAUAGGCCACACUGGAACUGAGACACGGUCCAGACUCCUACGGGAGGCAGCAGUAGGGAAUCUUCCGCAAUGGGCGAAAGCAUGACGCAGCAACGCCGAGUGAGUGACGAAGGCCUUCGGAUCGUAAAAAUCUGCUAUUAGGGAAGAACAACUGUGUAAGUAACUAUGCACGUCUUGACGGUACCUAAUCAGAAAGCAACGGCUAACUACGUG